UACUCUCUUUCAAGUAAGAAGGGUGGAAGAAUAUUCUUCUUACUUCUUAAAGAUAUACAAUGCCUCUAUUUUUCUAUCCCAAUCUUCCCCAAAGGCAAAAAAGGAAUUUCUUUGUACUUUGCUAAAGACAUAAUGCAGCAAAACUCCUUUUUAAUUCUCAGGUCAUCAAGAACGCAGUGGAUGUGGAUGUGUUCAGAUCACAUACACUUGUUAAUUUCAUUUCUAUGGAGUUCAGAGGACAGGCAAAUGGGCUGCCCCCGCAAAGGAUCAAGGGAACAAGAUCUUGCAGAGAAGCAGAAACUGAGUCUGACCCGAUGGUCUGAGGAGGAGCUUUCCCAGGGCAGAAGUGGAAGCAAAACAAGUAGUUUUAUUUGGUGAACAGGAAAGACCAAUGGAAGUUUCCCAGAAAUAAGGUUCGCCAUUGCUUAAUUUAAAGGAGAGAUUUCCCCAGCAAGUUCCCCAGGUCUGUUGCUGCUGGGGGUGGAGAUCUGUCUUCAGGCACCUGGACAUCUUCCACUCCCAGCAAGGUCAGGUGGUUCCACAGAUGAAACGGAUCUACACGAAGUGUUCUCUCUGCCGGAAAAGUCUACUGCCUGCCUAUGUUGACUUGACUUAUUUAUUCAUUUUGGUGUAAUACGGAAGCUCUCUCUCUAGUUUUCCAAGGUAGUGGCAAAAAUUGCAAAGAUAAUUUUAGUUUUCAUCUUGAUGAGUUAAGGGAAAACUAUGGCAAAACAAAUGUGCUUAAAAACCCAAACCUGAGUCAAAUAAAUAAAUAAAUAUGAUGACAAACUGAAAUUAUGAAUGGUCCCUUGUUGGCUUUCUUGUGAAAGUCUCUAGGUCUCAAACUUGUCAUUGCAAAGGAUAGAAGGCCACUUAUGUCCUCUUCUUUUAUUGUGAUACCUUUUUAUAUGUAUUUUCUCCAUUCCUAUUUUUCCCUUCUACUCUUUUUUUUGGCUUAUUAUAUAUAAUUACAAUAAAUGAGGAUAAAUAUUUUGGGAUCUGAAUUUCAAAGAACUAUGUUUUGUCUUCACAAUGAAACAAAGUAACACAAAACCAGAGCCGUCCAAAUUUCUUUAUAAAAUCAGACAAGAAGAAAAAUGAGGGAUUAAGAUAUAAACAUAGUCAAUGAAAUUUUGGUGUAGAGAGUCGUAAGUUAUUGAGUACAUUUUCUAGAAAUAAAAUGCAGAACUCUUAAAGUGGGUGUUGGAAUUAUUCAGGAUAAUUAUUAUCUUGAACUCAAAUUUAAUUUUUUUCUUUCCCCUUCUCUUUUUUGUACCCAAAUGUGAGAAUGAAAUUUUAGGCAAGGAACGGAAAGAGUAAACUACAUGAAAAAUUUGAAUAAUGAGUUAAGUAUAAAAUAAUAAAGACAUUAAGUAUAUAAUUAGAAUGUCCUAUUUAAAUAAGAAUAUCGUUGCUUCUUUAGUGUGGCCUUCUGCUUUGUUGAAGUUCUGUGUCUUUUUAUUCUACUAUAAAAAGAUGUUGUAUUGCCUCAUUUGACAUUUUCUUCAUAUAUUCAAACCAUUCAUAUUAUGGGAAAAAGAAAAGCAUUGUGAAAAUAUUUGUCACUUCAUUGGAAAGAAAGUGUCUUUUUUUUUUUUUUUUUUUUUUUUCUACAUCAAAAUGAAGCUUUCACAAGGAGAAAGACCUGAAGUGGAAAAUAAUGCCUGGGAAGUUUGUAGCAUGAGAGCAGAGGCCAGCACUGUGCACAUGAUUGUGCUUCCUAAAGUCCCUUGACUUUGCAUGGAAGGUCACAUAUUUUUUAAAAUGACACUAAUUUAGAAAUUCACAGGAAACCUGUGAUAUAUGACAUUUUUCAUACUCAAAUGCUGCUAAACUUAGAAGUAAAUUGAGAAAUCAAAAUACAAGUCAAAAGUACUCCCCAUGUAUCUGUCUAUAUCUGUUGACUUUGGCUAAGAUCUUUUCUUUCAAGAAAACUAAAAGGCUUGGUUAUUUAGUUCAUAUCACUUGUAAAACAAUAAACACGAUCUUAAUAAUUGCAUUUUAUUUUUUUAAAAUGCUCGAAUCCUCAGCUUAUUUUAUUUUCAAUUAAAGGCAAAAGUCUACUAAUCUGGAUCUACUUGUAAAAUAUGUAAUUGCUACUUCUGAAGUGACUGCUGAUUUGCAUCCAUCUACUUAUUCAAGUGAGCAGGUUAACAAACGUUAACUAAAAAUGAAUGCCUGUUCCCUGUUGAACUUGGCACUUAAUGAUGUAGUCAGAUGAAGACUAACAAACUAGCCAUCCAUCCCUGGCCCUGCCUAAAGGGUUCUAGUUAGCUCACUGAAACAUGCAGGGUUCAAAGGACUG